UCCAAGCUCCAAAUGGAAAAAUUUCCAACAUAAAAGUUGUUCCCCUUCAUGCUAGUUUUCCAAAGAGUCCAAGAUCAUGGAAUUUGAAUUAAAAUUGAGGGACUUGAGUAUGGUUCCUUUGCAUGGCCCUAUUUGGCAAUUUUUUACUCAAUUUUAAAAAAAAAAUGCAUGGCUUAAUGAAGUGAUCUCAACAUCAAUUGUUCGCGGAUUUGG
rnacentral:lncRNA from 1 species